GGAGCAGCUCAGGGAAGGGAGAGAAUGUAUUGCAGAAAUGCAACUUAACUUUUUCCUUUCCAGAUGGCAUGGUGAUAAUUAUUUGAAAAAUACAUAAAACAUCAUCAAAGAAGUUAUUUUCCAAAAAUAAAAAAAAAAUAAGUACUCUUAGUGAAUCAAUUAAACGAGGCUUGGUGGUUUCAUUCCAUCUGCUCUUCUGCAGAUUCUGGAAUCCUUUAGAAACUGACAUACAUCAUGAAGAUUCUGAUAUCUAUAUUUUUGUUGUUACUAGACAGACUCUUGAGCCCUCUGUCAAAUUGAUAUCCUUAACAAAGUAUUUAAUGACAUGCCAAUAUACCAGUCUUACCUCAUCAGCAAGAUGUUCUCUCACCCUUUGUCCUUAGUUAAAUGGGUACUCAUAAAAUUCAUGUCCACUCAGAACCUCAAAAUGUGAAGUUAUUUGGAAAUAGACUAUUUACAUAUGUAAUCUGGCCAAAAUAAGGCCAUAUUGGAUUAAUAUGAGCUCUAAUCCUAUGAUUGGUAUCCCUGUAAGAGAUGAUAAAUGUGGACACAUGGACACACACACAGAGAAGCAGCCAUGUGAAGACAGAAGCGGAGAUUGGAGUGAUAUAAGAAAUGCCAAGGAUUGCCAGCAAUCACCAAAAGCAGGGAAGAAAUAAGAAAAGAUUCUUCAAGAGAGCCUUCAGAGAGACCAUGGCCUUGUCAAUACCUGGAUUUUGGACUUCUAAUCUCCAGAACUGUGAGGGAAUAAAUUUCAGUUAUUUUCAGAUACCCAGCUUGUGGUACUUUGUUACAGGAGCUCUAAGAAACUCAUACACUCUUCUAAUGUGGUGUUUACCUUUCUGUGUGGAAUUUAUGUUAAUAUGCCCUUUACUAUAUCUGCAUAUACCAACUUGAUAGCAUUGAACCUUAAUCUAGUUAACAUUCAGCCUUAAUUACUAUAGAUUUAUAUAUCUAUUCUUCUUUUCCUGUUUAUUUCUCAGGCUUUUUUUAGAUUUCACAUUGUAAUCAUUACUGUACAUUUCUGGAAAAAAUCCUUUAAAAUCUUUGAAACUUUCUGUCAUUUUAGAAUGUUAAUGUCAAUUCCUCAAGUUUCUUAGUUUCAGUCUAUUGUAUUAUGAGUAAUUCUAUUACAUUACAAUAUACUAGCUACUUUUACUAGCAAUUUUAGAUAUGCUUUAUGGGCAGGCUACCUUUUUAACUGUUAAAUGAAUUAUGAUCACUGCAAUGUAUUAUCAAAACAUUUUAUUAUGUCUACUUUCUGAUGAAUUUAUUAAUAUUAAUUAUUUUAAACUAUCAGAUUAAAUUAUUGAAGCUGGACAAUAUAAGAUAAAGUAGACAAGACAAGUAAUUUUCAACAAAAGUUUACUUUUUAUUUUUAAUUUAAAAAUACCUUGCUUAGAAAAAAAGAGAUAAGGUUAUUGUGAGAUAUCAGUCAACCAAAUAUUAAUUAAAAGGUGGCAUUAUUAAGAAUAUAUGUCAAAUAUUAGAUGAAAGCAAAAAUAAUCAAAUGAACUCUUACAUAUUCAAGAAAUUAAGGAAGUAUAUAUAACUACAUACAAAUUAAAAUAAAUAGAAAAGUUUAUGGCUAGAUUGAAUCCACGUAAGAGUUCAUUAAUUAACUAUUGUGUUUUAAAGAGUAUAACUUAAAUUGGAAUGCUUUUUCUAAACUAAAACGAUCAUUUCUAUUUUUUAGAUUCAGAAAUUAGCUCAGCUUAAUGAAAUAGACAAAAAAUGGGGAUCUGUGAUGUUUAAUUCUACAUAUCAUUGUGGCUGAGAUCCAGCACCCAGAUAUUUGGUCUAACAUUUGGAAUGUUUCUACGAGGGUGUUUUCUGGAUGAGAUUAACGUUUAAAACAGUGGGCAUUGAGUCAAGUAGAUUGCCCUCCAUAAUAUGAGUGGGUCUCAUCCAAUCAGUUGCAGGGCUUAACAUAACAAGUACUAAUUUCCCCCAACCAAGAAAUUCUGCCAACAGACUGCCUUUGGAUUCAAACAGCAACUCUUUCUCAGCUUGCUGGGCUACUGGCAUAUGUAGAUAGCUCUCUGUAUAUAUAUAGAGGAAGAUACACACACACACUAACACACAUAAACACAUAUCCCCUGUUGGUUCUGUUUUGCUUGAAAAUCCUGACCAACACAGGAUCCUAAAGAUCUUGUAUUUUAUUUCUCAAUUUGACAUAAGGAGGUGGUAAAACCCAAACAUUUAAAUAUUCUGCUUAUAUAGUUACAUUAAGAAAUGAUAAAUAAAAAUGAAGAAAA
rnacentral:lncRNA from 1 species